GGGAAGAUUGGGCAGUUUAUCCAGAACCAUUUUUGAUCAAACUUCAGAAUAUUUUCUUAGGACUUGUAAAUAUCAUUGAAGAAAAGGAAACAGAGGAUGUGCCAGAUGAUCUUGAUGGUGCUCCCAUUGAGGAAGAGCUUGAUGGUGCUCCUCUGGAAGAUGUGGAUGGAAUUCCCAUUGAUGCUACUCCCAUCGAUGAUCUUGAUGGCGUCCCUAUAAAAAGUCUCGAUGAUGAUCUGGAUGGAGUGCCUUUGGGUGCAACUGAAGACUCAAAGAAGAAUGAACCCAUAUUUAAAGUUGCCCCAUCAAAGUGGGAGGCUGUAGAUGAAUCUGAGUUGGAAGCACAAAUGGUGACAACUUCCAAGUGGGAGUUAUGUGACCAGCAUGAAGAAUCAGAAGAAGAAGAAAACCAAAAUCAGGAAGAAGAGAGUGAAGGUGAAGAAGACACCCAGAGUUCCAAGUCGGAAGAGCAUCAUUUAUAUUCUAACCCAGUCAGAGAAGAGAUGACUGAGUCUAAGUUCUCUAAGUACUCCGAAAUGAGUGAGGAGAAACGAGCUAAGCUUCGUGAAAUUGAGCUAAAAGUUAUGAAGUUUCAAGAUGAAUUGGAAUCUGGAAAGAGACCCAAAAAACCCGGCCAAAGCUUCCAGGAACAAGUAGAACACUACAGAGAUAAACUGCUGCAGCGAGAGAAGGAGAAAGAAUUAGAAAGAGAACGAGAAAGAGACAAAAAAGAUAAAGAAAAAUUGGAAUCUCGAUCCAAAGACAAGAAGGAAAUGGAUGAAUGUACUCCAACGAGAAAAGAGAGGAAGAGACGACAUAGCACCUCCCGCAGCCCAUCUCGAAGUAGCAGUGGUCGACGAGUGAAAUCCCCAUCACCCAAAUCAGAGCGGUCCGAACGGUCAGAAAGGUCUCAUAAAGAAAGCUCUCGGUCCAGGUCCUCUCACAAAGACUCUCCUAGAGAUGCUAGCAAAAAAGCCAAAAGGUCACCGUCUGCUUCAAGGACACCUAAAAGGUCUAGGCGGUCUCGGUCUAGGUCCCCGUAGAAGUCAGGGAAGAAAUCCAGAUCUCAGUCCCGGUCUCCACACAGGUCUCAUAAAAAGUCAAAGAAAAACAAACACUGACAUAUAUUUUUAAGAUGCUGUCACUUAUUGGAAAUGCAAGUUUGUUUUGUGCCUGAAUGGUUUUUUUUUUUUGUUUUGUUUUUUUAAUAAAAAAAAACCAUACACACAAAAACAAGAAAAAUUCUAAUGAAAGA
rnacentral:lncRNA from 1 species